rnacentral:rRNA from 1 species
CCGCACGCGCGCUACACUGAUGAGUCAAACGAGUUUUUUUCCUUGGCCGGAAGGUCUGGGUAAUCUUUUGAAACUUUAUCGUGAUGGGGAUAGAGCAUUGUAAUUAUUGCUCUUGAACGAGGAAUUCCUAGUAAGUGUGAGUCAUCAGCUCGCGCUGAUUACGUCCCUGCCCUUUGUACACACCGCCCGU